CUGACCCGUGAGGCUCAGCUUGUUUGUUUGCUCUCUCGGCUGCGGCGUGACAGCGGUCAGGCCUCUCGGUACGAGCGGUCGCGGCGGUGUCUGGGUCACAGCGGACGGGGUCCUGGGGGGCUGACAGCAGGCUAGCCCCGGGGCUUUUGGAGCGGCUGAGCCCAGACAGAGCCCCGAGGACCUCCGGGAGGCACGUGCUCGGCCGACUCCUGCACUCACCCACUCCUUCUUUUUUCCUGGCGUUCAUCGCUGGCUCCCACCGCAACACAUGUUAUAGGAUAUAAGUCUGCUGAAGUUUAGUGAGAUGGACAGCCCGCCAAUUAGAAAAGCACUUCAACCGUGACCUAGAGGAAAACACAACGAGCACAAGUGUGCCCUUCCAUAACUUACGGAUUUCGAAUGCAACGACUUAACAACCGCUACUGAACUCAGACAUCGGCCAAGCCCUGAAACACACUGUGACGUUCGCGCCGCUUACGUGGAUGACUAUCACGGCCAUGGAAAGGAAAGAAGUCUGACCACAUCUAACCACGGUGCGACGGCCGCCUGAAAUAGUCUCAACCUCACGGACAUCUUUCCUCAUAGAACCGAUGACAACGUUGUGACCUCUGCGGUUCAUCUGUAAGGUUGUGUUUUUCAGACGAUCACAUCAAAUCAAGUACAAGACGAUAAGUAAUCCAGUGUAAUUGCAUCACCACAUGCAUCCAGUCAUCAAAAUAAGGCUGCUCUCGUGGGAUUUCUCCUCGAAAGAGCAGCUAGAAGAGAACCUCAUCCUCUUUCAGCUAUGAAUUGACAAGAAAGAAAAAGAAAUAACACUGUAUUUACUGUCAAAGAAAGUAACCGCUUCCAUUGAUCGUGUAACUGCACAAAGUGGCAUUCCAAAAAUAGAUUUGUCAUGAUAAAG